UGUGGUCCUUAUCAAAGCUGCAGUUGCUUCCACACAGCUGCUGUAGUCAACAAAGAGCCCACAGUUUUUCCUUGAUGGUCGCGGUUCAGUUUGCUGUAACUGAUCUGCAACAUUUCAGGAGAGACAUUC